UACGUAGGGUGCAAGCGUUGUCCGGAAUUAUUGGGCGUAAAGAGCUCGUAGGCGGUCUGUCGCGUCGGCUGUGAAAACUCGGGGCUCAACUCCGAGCUUGCAGUCGAUACGGGCAGGCUAGAGUUCGGCAGGGGAGACUGGAAUUCCUGGUGUAGCGGUGAAAUGCGCAGAUAUCAGGAGGAACACCGGUGGCGAAGGCGGGUCUCUGGGCCGAUACUGACGCUCAGGCACGAAAGCGUGGGGAGCAAACAGG
rnacentral:rRNA from 1 species